ensembl:lncRNA
CCGGAAGUGGUCAUCAGCAAGUGUGGAGCCAAACAGAGUACGGUGCAUAGACUGUACAUACAUUUUUUUGGUGAGUUUUCAUGGUCAAAAUGAGAGAUCAGGUGGCCGAUCUUAAAAUAAAUCAAUAUUGAAUUUUUUAUAGAGCGUUACAGUUUUGCGAAGCCAGGGGGCGGGAGUACUUGAUUGACAGUCUGAGACUGUUCUCCUCGUUUGGAUUAAUUCUGAUAUAAUAACUGUUGAUUUAUUUAUCGGUGCAGCAGCACAACAUUUACCACAUACAGUUUUCCUGCCCGUUGGCUUGUUUUAACCAGUUUUCUACCUUCGGCUGAUUCUACCAGCAGACACUGAAAGGACUCUGAUAUUUCGAAUGAAAGUAGCAAUUCCUCCUUAAGGUCGGAGAUUGCAGCAUCUGAGGGCCUCUUCAAAAGAAGACGUAGUUGAUGAAGGCGUUCUGGAGCAGGACCAGAAAGACCACGACCGAGCAGCCUUGAGAUCUUAGGCAGCAUCUCCCUCGGCUGGCAUCAUGAUUGGACUGUACUUUGGUCUGUUCCAAUCCAGCUUCAUCUCCAGAGACGGCAGGCGGGACGAGUCAACGGAGGCCGGGUGGACGAAGGCAUGCAGCUGAGUCGAAAAAAAAAUUUCAAAGGUCCCGCUCUAUCUCCCUACACAUCUACCAACCACUGGAACACAUCUCCAAAGUUCUGCCGGGCCAGCUCUGCUUCCCCUCAGAAGAAGUGCCGCCACCUGCCAGAUGAAGGAGCCUUUUGAGAGGCAGCUGGCAUCGUGAUUGGACUGUACUUUGGUCUGUUCCAAUCCAGCUUCUGCUCCAGAGACGGCAGGCGGGACGAGUCAACGGAGGCCGGGUGGACGAAGGCAUGCAGCUGAGUGGGAAAAAAAAAUGUGAUUUUUCAACAUGUUGUAAAAACGUGCCAUAUGAUGAAUAAUGUAAAGGAGGCUGUGAAAAACACUAUGGUAAGGUUCUCUUUGAAAAAAAAAAAAAAUCAUGAAUUUUGGCGCAAAAAAACGCCAUAGUAUACUAUGCCGAAAAAUGUCAUCUUUCAACAUGUUGUGAAAACCUGCAAUAUGAUGAAAUAAUGUAAAGCAGGCCAUGAAAAACACUCCAGAAAGGUUUUCUUUGAAAAAAAAUCAUCAUGAAUUUUGGCGCAAAAAAACGCCAUAGUAUACUAUGUCGAAAAAUGUCAUUUUUCAACAUGUGAAAACAUGCAAUAUGAUGAAAUAAUGUAAAGGAGGCCGUGAAAAACACUCUAGAAAGGUUUUCUUUGAAAAAAUAAUUAUUAUGAAUUUUGGCGCAAAAAAACGCCAUAGUAUACUAUGUCGAAAAAUGUCAUUUUUCAACAUGUGAAAACAUGCAAUAUGAUGAAAUAAUGUAAAGGAGGCCGUGAAAAACACUC